CCGGCGCACGGGUGAGUAACACGUAUGCAAUCCACCUGUAACAGGGGGAGUAACCCGGAGAAAUCCGGACUAAUACCCAUAAUAUGGGCGCUCCGCAUGGAGAGCCCAUUAAAAAGAAGCAAUUUUGGUUACAGACGAGCAUGCGCUCCAUUAGCCAGUUGGCGGGGUAACGGCCCACCAAAGCGACGAUGGAUAGGGGUUCUGAGAGGAAGGUCCCCCACAUUGGAACUGAGACACGGUCCAA
rnacentral:rRNA from 1 species